rnacentral:lncRNA from 1 species
UCUUACAAAGUAACAAAAGAAAGUUUAAGCAAAACUACAAUAUCUUCUCAAAGUUGAUCUUGACGAGGACACAAAUGAAACCGCAGUUAUCCUGAAAAAUGUUUGCCAUAGUUUGAUGAGUUUGGCUACUCAGUAAGUGAUCAUCGUAAUCCUAAAAAUAAUCAUGAUUGAAAGAUAUCAAUAUUUUUCAAAAUGAGAUCUAUUAAUAGAAAUGCAUUAACAAUUUC